rnacentral:tRNA from 1 species
GGGCGGAUAGCUCAGCGGGAGAGCAUCGGCCUUACAAGCCGGGGGUCGCAGGUUCAAAUCCUGUUCCGCCCACCA